GAAGAAAUUCGGUCUGCUAGACUACAAACUACACUUUUCGAUUUAGCAAACCAAU
rnacentral:sRNA from 1 species